rnacentral:lncRNA from 1 species
CCUCUUCCACUUGACAGACUCUGGACAAAAGAUCUGGGGCACAUGUUCAGAAGCAUCAGCACGUAGUGCGAGCAUAAAAAACGACACACUGAAUAAAGGGGGAUCGGCUACUAAUCCCUUUUAUCCGUCAAAUGCCUCUUCUCUUGGAGGUCUUAUCAAAUAUAACACAUGCCUCCUCUUGGAGGUCUUUGGGCACAAUUUUAAAC